CACACAGCCACAAGACUAUAACACAAAAAAAUGUUUCAAGUAUUUAAAAAUCAAAUAAUAAAGGAAGAAGUUGAGGGAAUUUAAGGCUUUAUCUGAUUGAUAUUUUGGGUUUUUAUGCUUUUGGUUCAAAACUAGUUUCUUUUAUCAAUUUUUUUGGUUUUGAAAUUCCUGUUUUCUCUCUGUUUGCCUCCAACACCCCUCCCCCUCCCCCUCCCCCUCUCCUUCUCUCUCUCCGUGCCAUAAUAAAGUUGCAUUUUCAGUUAUUUAUUCAUUUAUAUGGAAGUUUCG
rnacentral:misc_RNA from 1 species